CCUACGGGUGGCAGCAGUGAGGAAUAUUGGUCAAUGGACGAGAGUCUGAACCAGCCAAGUAGCGUGAAGGAUGACUGCCCUAUGGGUUGUAAACUUCUUUUAUAUGGGAAUAAAAUGUUCCACGUGUGGGAUUUUGUAUGUACCAUAUGAAUAAGGAUCGGCUAACUCCGUGCCAGCAGCCGCGGUAAUACGGAGGAUCCGAGCGUUAUCCGGAUUUAUUGGGUUUAAAGGGAGCGUAGGUGGAUUGUUAAGUCAGUUGUGAAAGUUUGCGGCUCAACCGUAAAAUUGCAGUUGAAACUGGCAGUCUUGAGUACAGUAGAGGUGGGCGGAAUUCGUGGUGUAGCGGUGAAAUGCUUAGAUAUCACGAAGAACUCCGAUUGCGAAGGCAGUUCACUGGACUGCAACUGACACUGAGGGUCGAAAGUGUGGGUAUCAAACAGGAUUAGAUACCCUAGUAGUC
rnacentral:rRNA from 1 species